UUUUAAAUCAGUACGGGUAAGGCGGCGGUCGUGGUAGGAGGGCUGGAUCUACGUCGGACCAACUGGGUGCCUGGGUUUGAAAGCGGUUAAGAUCCCGUGGGUCGCUCUCCUUUGAGCCCAGGCUGAGAUCCAAAGAAAGGAAGCAACUCCGUACGUGCACAGAGGCACGCCUUUCUCCACCUGCCUUGGACGUUCAGCCAUGAAUCCAGAUGUAUUAAGACAUCAUACAAGACAUCAAAGCAGCAUUGCAGCACAUGAAAAUGAGUGAGGAGCCAAUAACUCAGAGUAGUGUGUUUAUGCAAAAGCUGAUACGGCAUUAUCUGUUGAAAACCGAGUCGGGCGAUUGGGAAUGGAUCUGGAUGGAAGAUCCAUGGACUCACAAGUGGGAGCAGGUGCGGGUGCCGCGCAAGGAAGCUGAAAAGAGACGACAGCUAGGUCUCAAACCUCGUCCCUCGUAUUGGGGAGAGACAGAAGCCAAAGAGUGGAAACGGAAACUGAGAGAAUAGAGAGAAGCUGUGGCCCGUGAGUUGUGAUUGAUUUCUUUCCCCUUCUGACUUGGUGGCCUCUGUGUCUACUUAAUUUGUGAUGUCCAGAUAUUUUCCAUUGAAGGAUCCCUUCUCUCCUUUCUUAUCAUUCUUUGUCUUGUUGCGUAGUUAUGCAAAAGCUGAUACGGCAUUAUCUGUUGAAAACCAAGUCAUGCAACUUGGCAUGUAGCAGACAAAGUCUAUCGAGAUUUCUUAAUGUACAACUAUUUGCUGCUAAAUGUUACGACUUUUGUGUAACUGCACAACAGGAUUUUGACCUUUCUCUUUAAAUUGGAGCUGGCAUCACCUGAAAUAGAGGAACGUUUUCA
rnacentral:lncRNA from 1 species